rnacentral:rRNA from 1 species
GCCAGCAAACAUAUCACUUUGUAAAUUACACCAGGCAACCCAUUGAAGCGAAGCAGGUGUGAGCCUGGUCAGUACCUCGAUGAGAGACCUCCUGGGAAAAACUAAGGUUGCUGCUGGAA